UACGUAGGGCGCAAGCGUUGUCCGGAAUUAUUGGGCGUAAAGAGCUCGUAGGCGGUUUGUCGCGUCUGCUGUGAAAACCUCAGGCUCAACCUGGGGCUUGCAGUGGGUACGGGCAGACUAGAGUGUGGUAGGGGAGACUGGAAUUCCUGGUGUAGCGGUGAAAUGCGCAGAUAUCAGGAGGAACACCGAUGGCGAAGGCAGGUCUCUGGGCCACUACUGACGCUGGAG
rnacentral:rRNA from 1 species